UGGGGAAUAUUGGACAAUGGGCGCAAGCCUGAUCCAGCCAUGCCGCGUGUGUGAAGAAGGCCUUCGGGUUGUAAAGCACUUUCAGCGAGGAGGAAGGGAGUUGUGUUAAUAGCACAGCUUCUUGACGUUACUCGCAGAAGAAGCACCGGCUAACUCUGUGCCAGCAGCCGCGGUAAUACAGAGGGUGCAAGCGUUAAUCGGAAUUACUGGGCGUAAAGCGCACGUAGGCGGUUUUUAAGUCAGAUGUGAAAGCCCCGGGCUCAACCUGGGAAUUGCAUUUGAAACUGGAAAACUAGAGUGUGUGAGAGGGGGGUAGAAUUCCAAGUGUAGCGGUGAAAUGCGUAGAGAUUUGGAGGAAUACCAGUGGCGAAGGCGGCCCCCUGGCACAACACUGACGCUCAGGUGCGAAAGCGUGGGGAGCAGACAGGAUUAGAUACCCCUGUAGUCCCUGAGCGGGCUGGCAAGGCGCAU
rnacentral:rRNA from 1 species